rnacentral:lncRNA from 12 species
CAGAACCAAAAUGAGUAAUGGUUGGCGACAAGGCUUUGGAACCAGGCGUCACAUCACAGAGGAGUGUGAGACUGAAUUCGUGGACAGGAAGGAGAAUGUCAGACAUCUCAAGAAUUCUUUCUUGGCCAUCAGCUUCGAACUCUAACUUCUUUCCUGCAUCAGUAUGGCCAAGGUACUCCAGGACCCAAAGACCUUCUUCUCUUUACCUCCUCCAUUCUUGUAAUGAAUAUUUACUGGAACCCUACUAUGUGUCAGCCCCUCUUCUUCAAGCGAGGCAAACAAGCAAGUCAGCUUCAUAGCCCUAGAGGAGUCUGCAGCCCCGACAUUAAACUGAGACCCACCUAUUUAAUGAUUUCAGGACAAAUGACCAGGGCUCUGAGGGAGAAAGACAGAGCAGACCCUGAGACUGGAAGAAGGAGGACUUUGCUGGGUGAAAGGCUUGGGAGAGGGCCCCACGCAAGUCCUGAAGUGGGAAGAUAAGGACUCAAAUGUAUGCUGGGAAGCUUCACCUCUGUAAAGGUAGCAACUUAUGCUCUUCAAACCAACCUCUCCAUCCAAAACAAAGCUCGACAGAGUUUUUUGUGGAACUUGACAAGCUACUCCCAAAGUUCAUGUGGGAGAGCCAAGGGCCAGAUUUAACCAAGACAGUUCUGGCAAAACAGUGGGGGGAAGGAGGUGUCAAGCACUUGCUCAACCAGAUAUCGAGAGAUACCAUGAAACUCUGACAAUGAGCACUGGUAUAGGGAUGGAUUAUUAGGCCAAUGGAACAAAAUAAGUAGCCUAGAGAGAGACCCAAAUGUGUGGGAAAUCAGUUGUCUGACAGAGAUGAUACUGCAAAUCCAUGGAGAAAGAAAAGAAGGUGUUCCUGGACCCAAAAGAAUUGAAAACAAGCGCAGACAAAAAUCGGUACAGGAAUGUUCACAGCAUCACUAUUUGUAAUAACAAAGAAGUGAAAACAACCCACAUAUGCAACAAUUGGAUAGACAAAAUGUGGCACAUCCACACAAUGGAGUAUUAUCUGUCAUAAAAAGGA